GAUUAGCUUGUUGGUGAGGUAACGGCUCACCAAGGCGACGAUCCCUAGCUGGUCUGAGAGGAUGACCAGCCACACUGGAACUGAGACACGGUCCAGACUCCUACGGGAGGCAGCAGUGGGGAAUAUUGCACAAUGGGCGCAAGCCUGAUGCAGCCAUGCCGCGUGUAUGAAGAAGGCCUUCGGGUUGUAAAGUACUUUCAGCGGGGAGGAAGGUGUUGCGGUUAAUAACCGCAGCAAUUGACGUUACCCGCAGAAGAAGCACCGGCUAACUCCGUGCCAGCAGCCGCGGUAAUACGGAGGGUGCAAGCGUUAAUCGGAAUUACUGGGCGUAAAGCGCACGCAGGCGGUCUGUCAAGUCGGAUGUGAAAUCCCCGGGCUCAACCUGGGAACUGCAUUCGAAACUGGCAGGCUUGAGUCUUGUAGAGGGGGGUAGAAUUCCAGGUGUAGCGGUGAAAUGCGUAGAGAUCUGGAGGAAUACCGGUGGCGAAGGCGGCCCCCUGGACAAAGACUGACGCUCAGGUGCGAAAGCGUGGGGAGCAAACAGGAUUAGAUACCCUGGUAGUCCACGCCGUAAACGAUGUCUACUUGGAGGUUGUGCCCUUGAGGCGUGGCUUCCGGAGCUAACGCGUUAAGUAGACCGCCUGGGGAGUACGGCCGCAAGGUUAAAACUCAAAUGAAUUGACGGGGGCCCGCACAAGCGGUGGAGCAUGUGGUUUAAUUCGAUGCAACGCGAAGAACCUUACCUGGUCUUGACAUCCACGGAAGUUUUCAGAGAUGAGAAUGUGCCUUCGGGAACCGUGAGACAGGUGCUGCAUGGCUGUCGUCAGCUCGUGUUGUGAAAUGUUGGGUUAAGUCCCGCAACGAGCGCAACCCUUAUCCUUUGUUGCCAGCGGUCCGGCCGGGAACUCAAAGGAGACUGCCAGUGAUAAACUGGAGGAAGGUGGGGAUGACGUCAAGUCAUCAUGGCCCUUACGACCAGGGCUACACACGUGCUACAAUGGCGCAUACAAAGAGAAGCGACCUCGCGAGAGCAAGCGGACCUCAUAAAGUGCGUCGUAGUCCGGAUUGGAGUCUGCAACUCGACUCCAUGAAGUCGGAAUCGCUAGUAAUCGUGGAUCAGAAUGCCACGGUGAAUACGUUCCCGGGCCUUGUACACACCGCCCGUCACACCAUGGGAGUGGGUUGCAAAAGAAGUAGGUAGCUUAACCUUCGGGAGGGCGCUUACCACUUUGUGAUUCAUGACUGGGGUGAAGUCGUAACAAGGUAACCGUAGGGGAACCUGCGGUUGGAUCACCUCCUUA
rnacentral:rRNA from 1 species